rnacentral:rRNA from 1 species
UACGUAGGGGGCAAGCGUUGUCCGGAUUUAUUGGGCGUAAAGAGCGUGUAGGCGGCCAGACAGGUCCGUUGUGAAAACUCGAGGCUCAACCUCGAGAUGUCGAUGGAAACCGUCUGGCUAGAGUCCGGAAGAGGAGAGUGGAAUUCCUGGUGUAGCGGUGAAAUGCGCAGAUAUCAGGAAGAACACCCGUGGCGAAGGCGGCUCUCUGGGGCGGUACUGACGCUGAGACGCGAAAGCGUGGGGAGCGAACAGG